rnacentral:lncRNA from 1 species
GGUAGUUAUAUCUUUUCAGAAGUUCUAAAUCCACGAGAGAGAGAUUUGACUUGAGAGAUUUUACUUGAGAGAGAUUCUCUUGGAUCCAUUAGCCUGGUGUCUAUCAAGAAUCCUUGGGUCUGGAAUUUAGCUCAGUGGUUCCACAGCUUGCCUCACAAGCACAAGGUUCUGAGUUUGAUCUCCGAUACCAAAAAAAAAAAAAAAUCUCAAGGCAUCCUUGCAGCCCAGUACUUGGAGCAGGCAUAGUCGGUAGUCAGGAAAGGGUGACUGACUGAAUGAACAAAGGACUGACAGGAUCUCUCUCCCUGAGGCAUGCUGAUUUGUGUGGGACAAUCUUUCCACAGCCUUACUACUGCUUGAUAGAUUGUGUUAGGACAAGUUCUAUUGCUCAGAUUUCAUAGUGGAAGAGAAAAUGGAGGCACCAUGGAAGUGUUUGCUGUGUGAACUGGUGACUCCACAGGCAUUUCUAAAAGUGGUAAUCUGGUGUCACAGGGCCCAGACACACAGUCUCUCCUCCUAAAAGAUGAAGCUGCCAAGAGUCUCUGGAGCAAAUGAGGAGGUCCACAGAGUAAAGCAUGGAAAAAGAAAGCUGGGUCUCACAUCUGGGACAAAUUAAGAGUAGCAGAAGAGACCAACUUCAGGAGACCUGCAGGUCAAAAGGAAAGAAACUCCUUCCAGGAACUGGAGCCAUUGUCAGCACAGACACUUAGGAGGUCGUCUUUGUGACCACACGACUCUCCAUGGAGGCCACUCUUGGCUGCCCCCCAGCCUUUGUCUUCUAGGCCAGUGGCAGCUUUUAUGACUGGUGGGCUGCUCAGAGUUUCUGCAGAAAUAUUCUGUGGCCAGUUGCAAAGCACCAUGGAGAGCAGCUUCCCUGGCUUCUGUGUGGGAUUUGCCUUCACAAGAGAGGAGCAAGAAAGAGCUCAGUGGAUUGAUGAGAAGGCAUUUUUAACAGAUCACCUCUGCCUUUGUUAACAGUGGCAGACAUGUCCUGCUCAUCUUGUGCUUGGCAUCCAUGAACUCAAUCAAUCCUCACAGCUCCAUGAGGCAGAUUCCGCUGUCAUCCCAUUUUACAGAGAACACGACUGAAGUGAGUGGUGAUUGUGGAUUAAGGACAACUGUGAGACUUGACUAGUUGAAUUUGAAUAAAAGAACCCUUUUGUGGCUCCUGCUGAGAUCUCUGGGCCUAGAGGCUGAGCUACUUGAGCAAACUUUAUUCCUCAGGAGGACAUGGAGGAGCUGGUGAGAUGGCCCAGGACACGGGCACAUAGCUGCUGUUUUACGCCCAGGCCCACGGUUAGCAGGAAGAGGAUGUUUCUCUGAAGGAGGCCUCCAACAGCCAAGAUGGGAGGGUGUAGAUGGGGUGAGGGUUGCAGAAGGAGUGGGUGUAAUUUGUUGGGCAAAACCAACUUUGCACUAGAAGCAGGAAGAAACACUUACCGGUUUAUUAAUUAUAGGAUGCUUAGGACUGGAUUUGCCUUUGAAUGUGGGGGAAACAACCCAUGGCUUAAACAAACAGCUCCAAAAAACCCCCAAAAGACAAAAAAACAGCUCCAUCAUUCAACAAUAAUUAGCAGCAACAAUAGGCAUCUUCUUACAACUAGAUUGACAAGUGGCCCACAACACACAGCCCCAAGCCUGGCCCGGAACUGGGCCUCGAUGCCACACCUGUAGGACCAGCCAGCCCACAGUGUGAGCAGGGGCACAGAAGUGACAUGUUCUUUCUUAGGGUAUUUGUUGAGAACUUGCUCUGUACUGGGUUCUGAGAGGAGCACAAAGGAAAGUGAGAAAAACAUAAGAGAAAUGGGAUAUUACCCAGAAUCCAACGAACUGGGGAGACAAGGUUAAGCCUGAAAAGUUAACGGUAGCACAGAAAAAUACAUGUCACAAAUACAGUGGAUGCACAGAGCCAAAUGGACUUAUGGUGGAGAUUCCACACCAGAAGGUGAGAAGAGGGAUGGAGCCGCGGGGUCAGCAUUGCCAGUGAGAUUUCAGCCAGCACACACUGCAACACUUCUAGUAGAACAAGUAGGAGGUCUGGGGAUGAAGGCCAGUGGCAGAGCACUUGCCUAGCAUCCAUAAGGCCCUGGGUUUUAUCCCCAGCACCACACACACACACACACACACACACACAAAUAAGAAACACAAAGAAGAAAAUAAAAAAUCAUGUCAAAGGUGUGUAUUGUUACUAUUUAGGUUGUAUCCUUUAAGUUUUUUUCCUAUGCAUAGGUGUAUACAUAUUCAUGUGCACAUACAUUUUUUACAUAAAUGUGUUCGUAC